UAAUGUUCUGCUAUUUAACAGAGGAGAUGGUGAGGAUAAGGAGUACUAUGUGAAGUGGAAGGAACUCCAGUAUGAUGAAUGCUCCUGGGAACUUGAGUCAGACAUUUGUUCUUUUCAGCAAGAAAUUGAAAGAUUUAACAAAAUCCAAUCCAGACGCAAGCAAAAAAGCAGCCCUCAAGAUACCACAGAAUCAAAAAAGAAACAAAAAGAAUUUCAGCAGUAUGAAUGCAGUCCUGAGUUUCUUUCUGGAGGUUCCCUGCACCCUUAUCAGCUUGAAGGGCUCAACUUCUUACGGUUUUCUUGGUCCAAACAAACACAUGUGAUACUUGCAGAUGAGAUGGGUCUUGG